ensembl:snRNA U6 U6 spliceosomal RNA
GUUUACCUGCUCUAGACAUUUUGUAUAAAUAGAUUUGUACCAAGAAGAUUAACAUGACCCCCACACAAGGAUGACAUGCAAAUUCCUGAAUAGAAUUGUACAAUA